AUGCAGUCGAACGAUGAUUAUCUAGCUUGCUAGAUAUGAUUAGUGGCGGACGGGUGAGUAACAUUUAGGAAUCUGCCUAGUAGUGGGGGAUAGCUCGGGGAAACUCGAAUUAAUACCGCAUACGACCUACGGGUGAAAGGGGGCGCAAGCUCUUGCUAUUAGAUGAGCCUAAAUCAGAUUAGCUAGUUGGUGGGGUAAAGGCCCACCAAGGCGACGAUCUGUAACUGGUCUGAGAGGAUGAUCAGUCACACCGGAACUGAGACACGGUCCGGACUCCUACGGGAGGCAGCAGUGGGGAAUAUUGGACAAUGGGGGCAACCCUGAUCCAGCCAUGCCGCGUGUGUGAAGAAGGCCUUUUGGUUGUAAAGCACUUUAAGCAGGGAGGAGAGGCUAAUGGUUAAUACCCAUUAGAUUAGACGUUACCUGCAGAAUAAGCACCGGCUAACUCUGUGCCAGCAGCCGCGGUAAUACAGAGGGUGCGAGCGUUAAUCGGAAUUACUGGGCGUAAAGCGAGUGUAGGUGGCUCAUUAAGUCACAUGUGAAAUCCCCGGGCUUAACCUGGGAACUGCAUGUGAUACUGGUGGUGCUAGAAUAUGUGAGAGGGAAGUAGAAUUCCAGGUGUAGCGGUGAAAUGCGUAGAGAUCUGGAGGAAUACCGAUGGCGAAGGCAGCUUCCUGGCAUAAUAUUGACACUGAGAUUCGAAAGCGUGGGUAGCAAACAGGAUUAGAUACCCUGGUAGUCCACGCCGUAAACGAUGUCUACUAGCCGUUGGGGUCCUUGAGACUUUAGUGGCGCAGUUAACGCGAUAAGUAGACCGCCUGGGGAGUACGGCCGCAAGGUUAAAACUCAAAUGAAUUGACGGGGGCCCGCACAAGCGGUGGAGCAUGUGGUUUAAUUCGAUGCAACGCGAAGAACCUUACCUGGUCUUGACAUAGUGAGAAUCCUGCAGAGAUGCGGGAGUGCCUUCGGGAAUUCACAUACAGGUGCUGCAUGGCUGUCGUCAGCUCGUGUCGUGAGAUGUUGGGUUAAGUCCCGCAACGAGCGCAACCCUUUUCCUUAUUUGCCAGCGGGUUAAGCCGGGAACUUUAAGGAUACUGCCAGUGACAAACUGGAGGAAGGCGGGGACGACGUCAAGUCAUCAUGGCCCUUACGACCAGGGCUACACACGUGCUACAAUGGUAGGUACAGAGGGUUGCUACACAGCGAUGUGAUGCUAAUCUCAAAAAGCCUAUCGUAGUCCGGAUUGGAGUCUGCAACUCGACUCCAUGAAGUCGGAAUCGCUAGUAAUCGCAGAUCAGAAUGCUGCGGUGAAUACGUUCCCGGGCCUUGUACACACCGCCCGUCACACCAUGGGAGUCUAUUGCACCAGAAGUAGGUAGCCUAACGCAAGAGGGCGCUU
rnacentral:rRNA from 1 species